rnacentral:rRNA from 1 species
CGACGUAGGGGCCAAGCGUUGUCCGGAUUUAUUGGGCGUAAAGAGCUCGUAGGCGGCUCGGUAAGUCGGGUGUGAAACCUCCGAGGCUCAACCUGGAGACGCCACCUGAUACUGCUGUGGCUAGAGUCCGGUAGGGGAGCGUGGAAUUCCUGGUGUAGCGGUGAAAUGCGCAGAGUAUCAGGAGGAACACCAGCGGCGAAGGCGGCGCUCUGGGCCGGAACUGACGCUGAGGAGCGAAAGCGUGGGUAGCAAACAGG